rnacentral:rRNA from 1 species
UACGAAGGGGGCUAGCGUUGCUCGGAAUCACUGGGCGUAAAGCGCACGUAGGCGGACUCUUAAGUCGGUGGUGAAAUCCUGGAGCUCAACUCCAGAACUGCCUUCGAUACUGGGAGUCUCGAGUCCGAGAGAGGUGAGUGGAACUGCGAGUGUAGAGGUGAAAUUCGUAGAUAUUCGCAAGAACACCAGUGGCGAAGGCGGCUCACUGGUCCGGUACUGACGCUGAGGUGCGAAAGCGUGGGGAGCAAACAGG